rfam:Mesocricetus auratus contig038457, whole genome shotgun sequence.
AUGUCCUGAGCAGAAGGGUCCCUUUGGGGGCCUCUCAGGAGGGGGGGACCUGGGUCGGGGGCCACCAGCAUCGUGCUGGCCACUCUGUGGGUGGGGGCGGGGUGC